rnacentral:rRNA from 1 species
AGCAUAAUCCUUUGCCUCUUAAUUAGUGGCUAGUAUGAAUGGAUAAACGAGAAUUAACCUGUCUCUGCAAGUUAACUAAAAAUUAUCCCCCAAGUGAAGAGACUUGGAUUUUUAUAAAAGACAAGAAGACCCUGUAGAGCCUUAAUUACUGUUAAAUCCUUAAAUAAAUUAAAAUACAUCUUUAACACUAUUUUAGUUGGGGCGACUAAGGAACACCUAAAACUUCCUUCAUUUAUUAGGCCCAUCCGCCACUUUAUUGAUCCACUAUAAAUGAUUAAAAAAUCAGGCUACCUCAGGGAUAACAGUCUAAUCUUCCCCAAGAGUUCACAUUGACAGGAAGGAUUGGCACCUCGAUGUUGGCUUAGGGGCACUUUCGGGUGCAGCCGCCCGAAUAGUAGGUUUGUUCAACCUUUAAAA